rnacentral:rRNA from 1 species
UACGUAGGGUGCGAGCGUUGUCCGGAAUUACUGGGCGUAAAGAGCUCGUAGGUGGUUUGUUGCGUUGUUCGUGAAAUCUCACGGCUUAACUGUGAGCGUGCGGGCGAUACGGGCAGACUAGAGUACUGCAGGGGAGACUGGAAUUCCUGGUGUAGCGGUGGAAUGCGCAGAUAUCAGGAGGAACACCGGUGGCGAAGGCGGGUCUCCGGGCAGUAACUGACGCUGAGGAGCGAAAGCGUGGGGAGCGAACAGG